UCAGAGCAGUGUGAUGGCCAGCUUGUCCCAAGACACGGUUCUAAUAACUUUUACCUGAGAAGUUAUUGCUGCUUCAUUUCGGAAGAUUAACUUUUCCCUUCUUUAUUCUUCAUAACUCAAGAAUGUGGCGACACACACCCGGGGUUUCGCCGCCUAAACGGUGCAGUGAAGUAGGCUACGUUCGUAUGUACCAAGACCUGAUUAACGGACACUGAAAGCUUAUGAUGUUCGCUGGAUCAGAAGGGCCUAUGAAGGGGCUAUUUGUCAGAGAGGCAUUUCAGAUCUGUUGAAGCACUUUCAUCUCAUCCCGAGUGCUGCCAGGAAGCCCCUGCCCCAGGUACAUCAUCGUCACAAUCACAUUUGACUUCUUGGACUCUUUCUGUGCUUUGAGGCAUAGAGACUGUCAAGCAGAGAGACCAACUAAAACAACUCAACACUUCAAACUGGUUCAAAGCUGCAGUGUAAUCUGUCAACAGAGUCAGAGCCGACUCGCCUGCUUGUUGUUGAAGUCAGGAGCUCUCUGUGAGUUGAUGGAGGAGGUGGAGCCGCGGCGUCUGCUGGUGCUGAGAUAAGGACAUGAGUGACUGAGUCUGGCCGUUGCUGUCUGCAGGUUUGACAUCGGUCCUGUGAUAGCAGGAAGGUACAAAUCACUCAACCGUCCUCUGAUCGCUGGCUGGCUUGACUUGUUGGGCUGCACACAUUAAAGCAAAUAAUUUCAACA